rnacentral:rRNA from 1 species
AUAUCAAUAAGCGGAGGAAAAGAAACCAACAGGGAUUGCCUCAGUAACGGCGAGUGAAGCGGCAACAGCUCAAAUUUGAAAUCUGGCCGCAAGGUCCGAGUUGUAAUUUGUAGAGGAUGUUUCGGGUGUGGUCCAGUCUAAGUUCCUUGGAACAGGACGUCAUAGAGGGUGAGAAUCCCGUAUGUGACUGGGUGCCUAAUCCCAUGUGAAACUCCUUCAACGAGUCGAGUUGUUUGGGAAUGCAGCUCAAAAUGGGUGGUAAAUUUCAUCUAAAGCUAAAUAUUGGCCAGAGACCGAUAGCGCACAAGUAGAGUGAUCGAAAGAUGAAAAGCACUUUGGAAAGAGAGUUAAACAGUACGUGAAAUUGUUGAAAGGGAAGCGCUUGCAACCAGACUUGCACGCAGCUGAUCAUCCGGUGUUCUCACCGGUGCACUCGGUUGCGUUCAGGCCAGCAUCGGUUUUGGUGGUGGGAUAAAGGCCCUAGGAAUGUGGCUCCUCUCGGGGAGUGUUAUAGCCUAGGGUGCAAUGCCGCCUACCGGGACCGAGGACCGCGCUUCGGCUAGGAUGCUGGCGUAAUGGUUGUAAGCGACCCGUCUUGAAACACGGACCAAGGAGUCUAACAUCUAUGCGAGUGUUUGGGUGUCAAACCCAUACGCGUAAUGAAAGUGAACGGAGGUGAGAACCCUUAAGGGUGCAUCAUCGACCGAUCCUGAUGUCUUCGGAUGGAUUUGAGUAAGAGCAUAGCUGUUGGGACCCGAAAGAUGGUGAACUAUGCCUGAAUAGGGUGAAGCCAGAGGAAACUCUGGUGGAGGCUCGCAGCGGUUCUGACGUGCAAAUCGAUCGUCAAAUUUGGGUAUAGGGGCGAAAGACUAAUCGAACCAUCUAGUAGCUGGUUCC